GACAGAGGAUGCAAGCGUUAUCCGGAAUGAUUGGGCGUAAAGCGUCUGUAGGUGGCUUUCAAGUCCGCCGUCAAAUCCCAGGGCUCAGCCCUGGACAGGCGGUGGAAACUACCAAGCUGGAGUACGGUAGGGGCAGAGGGAAUUUCCGGUGGAGCGGUGAAAUGCAUUGAGAUCGGAAAGAACACCAACGGCGAAAGCAGCUCGUAGCUGGGCCGACACUGACACUGAGAGACGAAAGCUAGGGGAGCAAAUGGGAUUAGGAU
rnacentral:rRNA from 1 species